rnacentral:rRNA from 1 species
UACGUAGGGGGCAAGCGUUGCCCGGAUUCACUGGGCGUAAAGCAUCCGUAGCCGGUUCUAUAAGUCUUCCGUUAAAUCCACCUGCUUAACAGAUGGGCUGCGGAGGAUACUAUAGAGCUAGGAGGCGGGAGAGGCAAGCGGUACUUAGUGGGUAGGGGUAAAAUCCGUUGAUCCAUUGAAGACCACCAGUGGCGAAGGCGGCUUGCCAGAACGCACUCGACGGUGAGGGAUGAAAGCUGGGGGAGCAAACCGG